UUAGAGGUGGUGCAGGCACAUUUCUUUCUUUGCAACAACAAAACCUCACAAAUUCUAAGCUUCCGGAUAGUGUUCAGUGCAGCUGUACAAUUCAGUUAUGUGUGUCAGCGCCAUACAGCGAGCACCUAUAGCUACUAUUGCAUAUGAUGAAUCUGCAUAUAUCAUACAUUUCUAGAAAGCUAGGAACAUGAGAGAAUUAAUACACCACUAAGCAUUUGAAAGAAAUUUCAAAGAUAACUGAGCAUAGUCAUGUUUGAAGCACGGAUGCCUUAACAUAGCAAGAGAUUACAAGGAUUAGUGAUUACUCUAAAUUAAACUCUGCACUUUAGCAGAGAAUACUGCAGCAAACCAACAAGUGAUAGCAUUACCAAUCUGGGCAACUGCCAAAUGCGGGGACUGAAACAUUAUACUCUCAGGCAACAAAUCAUUGAAGUUCAAAACAGUGUCUCAUCUUCCAAAUGGUUAGUCCCUAAAACUUCUAAUCUAGCAGAACCAGCCAAUCUAGCAGAACCGAUAUCAAAUCUGUCAAGAUAGAGAACAUGCAUUAAUUUUGUAGUACAGAGAACAGUAUCAAAAAGAAAAUCUAGCAUCAUUAGAUGAAUAAUUAGGGGGAAUGGGGAGGUAUGAACAAGGGACAACAAGAAGAACAGUAAAGAUGAAUUACCGAUCUAUAUUUCUCCUAUGGCUGCCAGAGAAGGUUCUGCGUAAGUGAGGGGAGUGAGGAAGGAGCAGCAGGACGAUGGAUAUUAUAUGGACCCCCGUGGACGGGAGGAAGAGGUGAAUCGACAUUGGUAACUGACCUUCAAUUAUCAGCCAACGGAGAGUGCGCGCAUCGAUUGACAUUUAAU
rnacentral:lncRNA from 1 species